CCUACGGGAGGCAGCAGUGGGGAAUAUUGCACAAUGGGGGAAACCCUGAUGCAGCGACGCCGCGUGAGUGAAGAAGUAUUUCGGUAUGUAAAGCUCUAUCAGCAGGGAAGAAAAUGACGGUACCUGAUUAAGAAGCCCCGGCUAACUACGUGCCAGCAGCCGCGGUAAUACGUAGGGGGCAAGCGUUAUCCAGAUUUACUGGGUGUAAGGGGAGCGUAGACGGCAGCACAAGUCUGGAGUGAAAUGCCGGGGCUUAACCCCGGAACUGCUUUGGAAACUGUGCAGCUAGAGUGCAUGAGAGGUAAGUGGAAUUCCUAGUGUAGCGGUGAAAUGCGUAGAUAUUAGGAGGAACACCAGUGGCGAAGGCGGCUUACUGGACUGUAACUGACGUUGAGGCUCGAAAGCGUGGGGAGCAAACAGGAUUAGAUACCCCGGUAGUC
rnacentral:rRNA from 1 species